ensembl:lncRNA
UGGAUACCACAAAACCAUCCAGUCGGGAUGAAUCAUCCUUCUGCACAAGUAAUCUCCUUGCAUUCUCGAUUCUCCUGCUAGUCCAGCAGCUUACUCCUCAUUGAUGUCUUAGCUGUACAGCUGCAAUCCACCCUUCUGCCUUUGCUCACAUCCAAGUGCCAGGCUUGCCUGCUUCCCACCAUGAUGGCCAUGGACUAACUAACCCGCUGAAAUUGUGAACAAAUACUCAGCCCAGCUGAGCCUCAAAUUUGUGAUCAGCUUCCUGAUUAUUGGGAUUCCAGGUCCCCAAGGAGAAGCCAUAAGAAACUGUGUAUUUGGGGGCUAUCCUGUCUGCAAGUAAGACUCCCCAAAGUGUACAUCUAAACUCUAGGAGAAGGAAGCAUCUGCAAUGUGGCCUCAGAGUGCAAGGUGCUUUCUGCUCAGAGAAGCUUACUGCACCCUGUGGCUGAAGUCUCAGGGUUGAUCUAGGAUCCAUGGAAAAUUUUCAGAUCAUUGAAAUCAUGGCAGCUUCUUCCCCCAACACUGACAUUUAAUGGUAACAUAAAACCAGGGAGUUUAAGUGCUA